rnacentral:rRNA from 1 species
CCUACGGGAGGCAGCAGUGGGGAAUAUUGCACAAUGGGGGAAACCCUGAUGCAGCGACGCCGCGUGAGUGAAGAAGUAAUUCGUUAUGUAAAGCUCUAUCAGCAGGGAAGAAAAUGACGGUACCUGAGUAAGAAGCCCCGGCUAACUACGUGCCAGCAGCCGCGGUAAUACGUAGGGGGCAAGCGUUAUCCGGAUUUACUGGGUGUAACGGGAGCGUAGACGGGAGUGCAAGUCUGGAGUGAAAGGCGGGGGCUCAACCCCCGGACUGCUGUGGAAACUGUACGGCUGGAGUGCAGGAGAGGUAGGUGGAAUUCCUAGUGUAGCGGUGAAAUGCGUAGAUAUUAGGAGGAACACCAGUGGCGAAGGCGGCUUACUGGACUGUAACUGACGUUGAGGCUCGAAAGCGUGGGGAGCAAACAGGAUUAGAUACCCGAGUAGUC